UCCCUGGAGGUCUAGUGGUUAAGACUCUGUGCUUUCAACGCAGAGGGCAUGAGUUUGAUCCCUAAUUGGGGAA
rnacentral:tRNA from 1 species